rnacentral:rRNA from 1 species
CGGGUUGUCAUGCCAAUGGCACUGCCCGGUAGCUAAAUGCGGAAGAGAUAAGUGCUGAAAGCAUCUAAGCACGAAACUUGCCCCGAGAUGAGUUCUCCCUGACCCUUUAAGGGUCCUGAAGGAACGUUGAAGACGACGACGUUGAUAGGCCGGGUGUGUAAGCGCAGCGAUGCGUUGAGCUAACCGGUACUAAUGAACCGUGAGGCUUAACCUUACAACGCCGAAGGUGUUU